UGUAAGCGUAUACCAAAGUUGUUGCAGUUAAAACGCUCGUAGUCGGAAUUUGGCAGUUCCGGAUGUGUGCACGUCGUGUGCGCACUUCGCGGGGAUUGCUUUUGUGGUCUUGCGUAGGAUGAGGCACUUUUAUUAGUGAACGUCCUCACGCGACCACUUUUUACUGUGAGAAAAUCAGAGUGCUCAAAGCAGGCAUUUGCCGUGAAUGUAUUAGCAUGGAAUAAUAGAAUAGGACUUGGUUCUAUUUUGUUGGUUUGUUGGGACUGAGUAAUGAUUAAGAGGGACAGUUGGGGGCAUUUGUAUUUCGGUGCUAGAGGUGAAAUUCUUAGAUUACCGAAAGACAAACUGCUGCGAAAGCGUCUGCCAAGGAUGUUUUCAUUGA
rnacentral:rRNA from 1 species